AAAAAAGCUGUAAAAAAAGCCAGCAUAUGGUUAACAGUAGAAGACGGGGAUAGGACAACAGGUCUAUGGUUAACAGUAGAAGACGGGGAUAGGACAACAGGUCUAUGGUUAACAGUGGAAGACAGGGAUAGGACAACAGGUCUAUGGUUAACAGUGGAAGACAGGGAUAGGACAACAGGUCUAUGGUUAACAGUGGAAGACAGGACAACAGGUCUAUGGUUAACAGUGGAAGACAGGGAUAGGACAACAGGUCUAUGGUUAACAGUAGAAGACGGGGAUAGGACAACAGGUCUAUGGUUAACAGUAGAAGACAGGGAUAGGACAACAGGUCUAUGGUUAACAGUAGAAGACAGGGAUAGGAGAACAGGUUUAUGGUUAACAGUGGAAGACAGGGACAGGACAACAGGUCUAUGGUUAACAGUAGAAGACAGGGAUAGGACAACAGGUAUAUGGUUAACAGUGGAAGACGGGGAUAGGACAACAGGUCUAUGGUUAACAGUGGAAGACAGUGAUAGGACAACAGGUCUAUGGUUAACAGUAGAAGACAGGGAUAGGACAACAGGUCUAUGGUUAACAGUGGAAGACAGGGAUAGGACAACAGGUCUAUGGUUAACAGUGGAAGACAGGGAUAGGACAACAGGUCUAUGGUUAACAGUGGAAGACAGGGAUAGGACAACAGGUCUAUGGUUAACAGUGGAAGACAGGACAACAGGUCUAUGGUUAACAGUGGAAGACAGGGAUAGGACAACAGGUCUAUGGUUAACAGUGGAAGACAGGACAACAGGUCUAUGGUUAACAGUAGAAGACAGGGAUAGGACAACAGGUCUAUGGUUAACAGUAGAAGACGGGGAUAGGACAACAGGUCUAUGGUUAACAGUGGAAGACAGUGAUAGGACAACAGGUCUAUGGUUAACAGUGGAAGACAGGGAUAGGACAACAGGUCUAUGGUUAACAGUAGAAGACGGGGAUAGGACAACAGGUCUAUGGUUAACAGUGGAAGACAGGGAUAGGACAACAGGUCUAUGAUUAACAGUAGAAGACAGUGAUAGGACAACAGGUCUAUGGUUAACAGUGGAAGACAGGGAUAGGACAACAGGUCUAUGGUUAACAGUAGAAGACAGGGAUAGGACAACAGGUCUAUGGUUAACAGUAGAAGACAGGACAACAGGUCUAUGGUUAACAGUGGAAGACAGGGAUAGGACAACAGGUCUAUGGUUAACAGUAGAAGACAGGACAACAGGUCUAUGGUUAACAGUGGAAGACAGGGAUAGGACAACAGGUCUGUAUUUCAGUGAGGAGGUGGAAUUUUGGUGCAGAGUUGGUCAGGGGGUCACUCCUUUUAUCUGAGCUACACCUGUCUGGGGUCAAAGGUUAAAGGUCAGGGGUCAGGAGUCUGGAACGGUCGAUCUAUAUCACUUAAUUUUUAUUGGACGUCCCCAG
rnacentral:lncRNA from 1 species